GAUGAAGAACGCAGCGAAAUGCGAUAAGUAAUGUGAAUUGCAGAAUUCAGUGAAUCAUCGAAUCUUUGAACGCAUCUUGCGCUCCUUGGUAUUCUGAGGAGCAUGCCUGUUUGAGUGUCAUUAAAUUCUCAACUACACUGACUUUGAAUUGGUGUGGCUUGGAUUUGGGGGGAAAAUUGCUGUGGGCUUUUUGUAUAGUCUGCUCCCCUGAAAUUGAUUAGCGGUACCUUUGUGGAACUGUCUACAGGUGUGAUAAUUAUCUACAUCUUAGACAUCUGCUGGAAUGCUGCUUUCUAAACCUUACUUGUAUUGACAAUCUUGACCUCAAAUCAGGUAGGACUACCCGCUGAACUUAAGCAUAUCAAUAAGCGGAGGA
rnacentral:misc_RNA from 1 species